UUGGGUGAAACCAAAAAGAGGUGUAUCAUUGUUAAUGAUAAUAUUGAAUUAUAUUCCACCCAAG
rnacentral:tRNA from 1 species